rfam:Spinacia oleracea cultivar SynViroflay scaffold7628.con0009.1, whole genome shotgun sequence.
AGCCUACUAGCUCAAUUGGAAGAGCAUUUUGCAAAAGCACAAAAGAUGUGGGUUCGAAUCCCACGUAGGUUG